rnacentral:rRNA from 1 species
CAGUAGCCGCGGUAAUACGAAGGGGGCUAGCGUUGUUCGGAUUUACUGGGCGUAAAGGGCGCGUAGGCGGACUGAUAAGUCAGGGGUGAAAUCCCAAGGCUCAACCUUGGAACUGCCUUUGAUACUGUUUGUCUUGAGUUCGAGAGAGGUAAGUGGAACCGCGAGUGUAGAGGUGAAAUUCGUAGAUAUUCGCAAGAACACCAGUGGCGAAGGCGGCGACCUGGUCUUUUACUGACGCUGAGGCGCGAAAGCGUGGGGAGCAAACAGGAUUAGAUACCCCCGUAGUCCCUGUCUCUUAUAC